rfam:Schistosoma rodhaini strain Burundi genome assembly, scaffold: SROB_scaffold0000421
AUCCAGCUGACGAGUCCCAAAUAGGACGAAACGUGCGUCAAGCUGGAU